UGCAUAGACAAGUGAACGUAAAUGUAUUUGUCCAAAGGCCAAGAGCCUCAAAAAGUUAAUAUCAAGCUCUGCAAUCCGUGGCCAGAGAUCCCUGCAAACACGUCUAGUUGGGCCCCACAUGGGCCUCACUUGGGCUAGAUGGGCUUAGGCUGGGCAUGGGCUCAGAGUGGGCUUUGUUGUUGGGCCCCACAUGGGCAGUAGAUGGGCAUAAGAUGGGCUAAACUACGCAUGGGCAUAAGUGGGUUCCAGCUGGGCUCCACUCUUAAGAUAUUCAAAAUUGAUUAUGGAUGCUUUUGUUAUAGGCUUAUUUUAACAACAGUCACUGGCUAGUUCCACUUUUUAUUCAAAUUUUAUCAGGCUUUUUAGCUAUUUAGAAGUGUAGCCAUUGCACUUUAAUAGUGGUUUAAGACAAAAUAUGAAUUUCAACAGACAAUAUUGUAAUAAAAUACAUUUACUAUUAUUUUAUUACAUUAUUGUACUAUCUAGGUUUCCCAGUUCCACCCCAUCACGGAGCAAAAAAAAAAACGUCACUUUGCCGCCUUUCAAAAAUAUAUUGUUUUUUGAAUUUGCCGCCUAAAAAAUUCCCGCCUUCAGUACCAGUACCAACGUCAGAGCGUCUUUGUCUGAUAACUUCUGCAGCAGUCAGUCGCAUGAUGAUCGGAUUUCAGACACCAUCAGUUUAACACGAAAAAACAGGUAAGAAUCUGCCUCUAUGUAUACUUAAACGGGGGAUGUAUUUUUCACGCAUGAGGUUUACUAAAAGCUUUUUUGGAGAGUGUUCGGUUAGCCAGUUUUGAACGUAAACCAAUGAGGUUUCAGCCUAACUAGCUAGCAGCUUUCAGCUAGCUAUGGUAAUUAAACCUGGUUAAAGCAUGGUGUUGAACAUACAAGUCCAAUUUAUUAAGUUAAUAUCAAGCAUGUUUUGAGCUUAUUUUGAGUGGUUGACUUACAUAUAUUGUUUGGAAGGAUUUGGUUGUAAACUUGUUAGCAAGACAGUCAAACAGGCCUAGUUAGCAAGUGGUUAAAACAAGCUGUAGCACAAGCAAAAAUGUAUCGUCUGCUUUUUCCACUUAUGCUUGUUUCUUGUCUGUUGCCUUCCCUCCGGUUUUCUCGAAUUGGAUGAGUAUGUUGUGUAGUUGUUUUGAAGAGAAGGGACGAUUUGGUUCUUUUUUGAUGGGCUAUGGAGAAAGUUAAGGAGGUGAGCGCAGCGCGCACACACAUGAGAAGGAAAGAGAUGGUUAGGCUAUAGUCUCAACAUGCUAAAUUCGCCUCUUUGCCGUACUCUUUUCCAGAAAUAAACGUGAUUUUAGCUGUGGUGAUAUUAUUAGUUCUUGUUGUAAUAGCAGUUCUGUUAGACUGGAUAUUAUUUUCACUUAUUAUCUUAUUAGUCUGCAGAAUGUGUGUGUGUGUGUCAGCGCUGUAUAGGCGUGCUCACACACUCUCAUACACACAACGUCGCGCUCCUGCGUGCGGCAAAGACGGCAAACGAGAGAGUGUGUGUGUGUUCAUUCGCUCGCUCGCCCGUCGUGUACACUGUACACUCAGCUACUACUUUUCUGUGUGAGCAAUAAGGAGUGAAAACUGUAUUGUUUAGCAGGCUAAGAUAAUGCUAAUUGCUAGUAAAUGCUAACGGCACAUCCUCUGGGUGUUCCCCAGUCAUGAAGGUUAAAGCAGCAUUGCAUGACGUUUUGAUAAGUAGUGUGCGGUUGUCAGUGUUUAAAACUUUAAUUGUAAUCUGUGUGAAAAUAAUAUAGUAAAUGGCUGUGGGUCAAAGACUAGUUAUGUUAGAUAAUUCAGUUAAUUAGUAUAAUCCAUAGAAGUUUAAAGUAAAAGCAGUGAGACACACAGUAGGUAAUUAUACAAAUUCAUAGAUUAUUCAGUCUGGAGAAAUGUGGUAUUACUGAUUUGGGAUUUUAAUUUUUUUAUGUAAUUUGACUGUAUGCAAUACUUACCUGUGUAUAUAUGUUAAAAAGAGUAAUUUGACAAUAAAAAUAAGUAUUUUUGUUGCUAAGGUCACUUUUUAAAUACUUACCUGUAGUCCCUGUAAGACCAGUUAAUGAAAUUAAAUUAAAAAAUAGUUCUAUUAAUACUAGUUUUAACAAGCAGUUUUUAAUCAUAGCUAAAAACUUAAAUACUUCUUCUUUUUUAGAAACAAUGGCGUGUUCAGAAAGAACUAAAAAGAGGAAAAUAUCAGCGAAAGUGGAGCAACAUUUGCGUCUCGUUGAAAAUGAGUUGAUGAUGGAUGAUUGGUUGGCAAAAGACUCUGAAAUCGAUGAGGAUCGCUCUGAAAGGGAAUACCCACAAGAUGAUUUGUUAAAGGACUCUGAAAGAGAAGAUUCCAUGGAUACUUUCUACGAUGCUUGUGAUCAGAACUGUUUUGAGAAGUCAUCAAAUGAUUUUGAAGAGAAUUCCUCUGUCUUUUAUGAUUGCAUCAUUUCCUCAUUUGAUGAUUUGGAUUCUGAAAACUGGCUGCCUGCUGGUGAUAGUGACUGUGAUUCGCAUGGAGAUGCAUGUUCCGACUUGGAAGAGGAUAAUGAUGAUGAUGAAUGUGGGCUUGCAGAAUGGGCUUCAGAAUUCAACACACCACAAACAGCGCUGUCUGCACUUCUUAAAAUCCUAAGGAGGAAGGGCCUUGAUAUCCCAAUGGAUGCCAGAACUCUUAUGUCUACUGACAGAUCUUGCGAUGUUUCGGCUGUGGAUGGAGGGUCCUACUACCACUUUGGAAUCGAAAAUGCUCUCAUAGCUGAACUAACAUCUCUUGGACAUUUAGCAAAUAUGACAGAUACUCUCACACUUCGAAUUAAUAUAGAUGGAUUGCCCUUAUUUCGUAGCUCCAGUAUGAGUCUGUGGCCUAUUCUGGGAAAGAUUAAGGAAAUUCCAGAGUGUAGUGUGUUUGUAAUUGGAGUGUACUCCGGUGCGUCCAAACCCAAAAAUGUCCAAGAGUAUUGGAAAGAAUUCAUUGUAGAUUUGAAAGCCGUUUCUCAGAGAGGUAUUGUGUACAAUGGUGUACAUUUCAGUGUACCAUUACCCGAUGCUUUUAUUUGUGAUGCACCUGCGCGGGCCUUUCUUAGAUGCUCCAAAGGCCACACUGGGCAUUACGGGUGUGAGAGGUGCACUCAAAAAGGCCAGUACAUUAAUGGGAAGGUGGUUUAUCCUGAAAUAUCAGCAGAGCUCAGGACAGACGAGCAAUUUGAAAGGCAAGGCUAUCAACAGCACCAACUGUCAGCCUCCCCCCUAAAUGAUCUGGGUAUAGGAUUAGUUAGCAGUUUUGUUUUAGAUUAUAUGCACCUUGUGUGCUUGGGCGCAAUGCGCAAGUUAAUAUUUCUUUGGUUGAAGGGGCCGCAGAAAUCCAGGCAAGCUAUGCAUUUUUUUGUUGUAAUGUCUGCAUAUAUGGUGUCUAUCAGGCAAUAUAUACCUAGCAAUUUUGCAAGGAAACCACGAUCCAUGUUUGAAUUUGGUAAAUGGAAAGCUACAGAGCUUCGGCAAUUUUUACUUUACACUGGCCCUGUUGUUCUCCUCAAUAAUAUUCCCAGUAGAAUGUACAGAAACUUUUUACUUCUAUCUGUGUCUAUGAGAAUUCUUCUGAGUCCUGCCUUAUGUUCUCCUGACAAUUUAGACUAUGCUGAGGAGAUUUUGAAACUCUUCGUAACAGAUUUUGCUGCAAUUUAUGGCAAUGAUUUUGUCAGCUAUAACAUGCAUUCAUUGAUCCACUUAGCUCAAGAUGCACGGAAAUUCGGCCCGUUAGAUAGUAUUUCAGCAUUUCCCUUCGAGACAUUUUUAGGUAAACUUAAAAAACUUGUCCGUCGGCCUCAAAACCCUGUCCAACAACUAGUCAGGCGGCUCCAUGAGAAACAGAAAGUGGCAAGCCAAAAGAGCACAUAAGUUUGCAGCCCACUUAAACAGCUCCACUUUUCUGGACCUAUGAUUAAUUCAACUGCAACAUGGGAUCAAUACAGGCGUUACAAUGAUGGACAGACAAUGAUCUCCUCCUCUCGUGGCGAUAACUGUUUUUCUGUGGGGGGAAGGGUUCUUAUUGUGCGGAACAUUUUGUCACAUUCUGGAACUGUUGAAGUCCUAUGUAAUUUCUUUAAAACUGACAAAAACUUAAAAAAAUUACUUGACAAAUUAUCCAAUGGACUCCUCACGUCUUGGAAUUCUUUUUGUUUUCAAUUUAUCUGAACACUUGCAGCUGUUACCUGUUGAGUUAAAAACAAAAAUGGUUUUGUUGCCAUUCAAGACUGGAUACGUGGCAUUGCCACUCCUGCACUAGUGUGCUAUUUAUUUAUUUUUUAUUGUUCGUUUUGAUUUACCGAUUUGUUUUUUUAUUCACAUUUGCGAGAAAAAGUAUGUGAACCCUUUGGGAUUACUUGGAUUUCUGCAUUUUCACUUUUUCUCGCAACUGUAUGUAUUUUAUGUAUUUUUUUUUCUUUAAGCAUGUUGCCUUUCGCCAUAGUGGCAUUUGAAAAUAAUGGCGGAUUGGCAGUUAUUCCAACGAAAUGGUUUACCGGGGGUGAGGAGGACGAAUGUUACUGGCCACCAGCCAAGAUCAACAUGGCAAAGGCGGUCGCAGAACAACUGGAGCCGCACACUGAUUGGGCAACAUUCAAAUUGACGGUCAAGAGAAAAGCCGCAACGUAUGGAGUUGCCCGCUCAAAAUUGGUUGAAUACGAGGAAAAUACAGAUGUCCUGACCGAGUCUGAUUCCGAGAACUUGGGAAAAGGACAGCGCAAAAGGAGGAAAGUCAUUUUUACAAGUGAGGAUGAGGAUGAUGACAGCCCCAUCGGACCUACCGCUCCAUCCAGCCUCAGGUCACUACCUACCGCUACAUCCAGCCUCAGGUCAUCACCUACCGCUCCAUCCUACGCUACAUCCAGCCUCGGGUCACCACCUACCGCUCCAUCCUACGCUACAUCCAGCCUCAGGUCACCACCUACCGCUCCAUCCUUCGCUACAUCCAGCCUCAGGUCACCACCUACCGCUCCAUCCUUCGCUACAUCCAGCCUCAAGUCACCACCUACCCCUCCAUCCUACGCUCCAUCCAGCCUCGGGUCACCACCUACCGCUCCAUCCAGCCUCAGGUCACCACCUACCGCUCCAUCCUACGCUACAUCCAGCCUCAGGACACCACCUACCGCUCCAUCCUACGCUACAUCCAGCUUAAGGUCACCGCCUACCGCUCCAUCUCCAGUAAGAGACUCCAUGUUCGUGCGCAUCUUAACCCUCCUUGAGGAGGUGAAAGAAACACAAAAGAUUCACGGGAGGAUGCUACAAACGCUGUUACAACAGCGUGGAACCACUGUCUGCACCGUCUCUUCUACCCCAGAGGGUUUCCCCUUAAAGACGGUUCAAGAUGUCAUGAACAUGGAGGAAAAACUGGCGAACACAAACGUCAUGUCUGAACUGGUCGCAGUUGUGGCUGACAUUGGGGGGGCAACUAUUGAUGAGGCCACAAGAAGGAUGAUGGCCUUCCUCCUUGACCACGGCCUGUCUAGGAAUUACAACCUUCUGGGCUGAAACGGGAAGAGGGAGUUUAAGGCCUUGAAGUUGUUUGAAGUGAUAUAUGGAGGCAUGAAGAAAAACCAGAUGACCAGCAAUAUUACCCGUAAAGAUGCAGAGAAGGCCAUCUCCAAAUGGUUCAUUGGUUCUAGGGACCGGGGGGGUAAUCGACAGGUCCGACAGGCCACCCCUCAACAAAGACUUCAGACAUUUGAGGAGCCAUAAUAUGAUGAAUACAAGUCCACUCACACUAGUGCGACAGGUUGCUAAUGAGCAGAUGCUGUCUCUUUGACAGCGCUGUUUUAUUUCCUAGCAGAUUUUGUAGAAAAUAAUUAUAAUAUCCAUAAGUAGGUUUAAUUUAGUGCAUAAUAGCUGAAAAAAAUGUUUUGAAUUAUUAUUCAAUUAUUUUCGCUUAUAUAUGUUCAUAUUUCUGCAUAUUUUGGACCAAGGCCUAGUGCCGCCAUCUUGAAAGUGUCUUAGUUGGAAUGUCAUCAGGUGCAUUGUUUAAAAUUUAGAAUUGUUCUUGUCCUUAAAGGCCACUGUAGCUUCUGUUAUUAUUCGAAAGGGUUGGGGUUACCCAGGGAGUGUUGCAUUCUAGAACGUUGUAGAACUUUCUUGAUGAUGUCAUAUUACACAGUGCACCUUUAAACAUAGCCUAUUAAAGGUGCAGUGUGUAAUAUGACAUCAUCAAGAAAGAUGACAGGCUCAAAGGUAACCUGGAUAGCUGAGUAUGAAGAUUUUUUUUUUUUUAAAGGUCUAUAAAGGUUUAUAAAGUUUUUCAAGGUCAUCAUUCUGUAAAAAAAAAGUUGAAUAUAUAGAGGUUUGAAUAACAUUUCUUGAUCAAAUGAUGAAUAAGUUGAAAGACAUCGAUAAAAAACUUAAAACUGUAAAAAUAGUAUUUGACUUGGAGCUGAACUACAUUGAUGGCUUGAAUGUAUAUGAAUCAGCUAAAGGAGUAUGAAGAUGUGGAAAAGUAAGAAAUAGUCUUAACUAUGAACUGUAGGGAAUUGUUGAACUCUAAUAGAAAUGAUGUGGAAUAUUUAAACAUUUAUAGAUAAAAUUAUAAUUGAAAGACAAGAAAAAAAAAUCUAAUGUGUGAAAUAAGGUUAAGGUUUAUGCAAGUUUUCGAUCAUUCUUUGUGUGGUACCGAAUUUGUUUGUGCUACUGAUUUUUUUUUGCAUUCUAACACAAAUAAAAAUGUAAUUAAUUGUAUUACUGGUCUCUUUGUUAUUGUAACUUAAAUAAAUC